rnacentral:rRNA from 1 species
UACGAAGGGGGCUAGCGUUGCUCGGAAUCACUGGGCGUAAAGCGCACGUAGGCGGAUUGCUAAGUCAGGGGUGAAAUCCUGGAGCUCAACUCCAGAACUGCCCUUGAUACUGGCGGUCUCGAGUCCGGGAGAGGUGAGUGGAACUGCGAGUGUAGAGGUGAAAUUCGUAGAUAUUCGCAAGAACACCGGUGGCGAAGGCGGCAUCCUGGACCAAUUCUGACGCUGAGGAGCGAAAGCCAGGGGGGCAAACGGG